UACAGGGGGUGCAAACGUUGCUCGGAAUCAUUGGGCGUAAAGCGCACGUAGGCGGUUCGUUAUGUCGGAUGUGAAAGCCCUUGGCUUAACCGAGGAAGUGCAUCCGAAACUGGCGAGCUAGAGUACUAAAGAGGAUCGCGGAAUUCCCGGUGUAGAGGUGAAAUUCGUAGAUAUCGGGAGGAACACCGGUGGCGAAGGCGGCGAUCUGGGUAGAUACUGACGCUGAGGUGCGAAAGCGUGGGGAGCAAUCAGG
rnacentral:rRNA from 1 species